UUCAGUUGUGUGAUUGGAAGCGGUGGGGCCUGACUCCACCUCUCCUAGACCCUAUUAAAGGGCUGACUGGCAUAGGUGAGGGAUCUCUUUCUGGAGAUUUCCUCUUUUGGAGUUCUCUACUGUGAGUCUAGGAUAUAGCAAGGAAAAUGGAUGAUAGUCUUGAGGUGAGAUGGAAGAGGACAGAAUAUGGUAAAAUGGAGUAGUAAACACAGGGUAACACUGUGUCUGUGUGUGUUCUGAAACAAUAGUAAGGCUGUCAUGAGCAUUCAUCACUGAAAGACUGCAGGAAGCAAGCUGGGGUAAUACAGCUUACAGAUCCAGAGGCAAAAAUGAAAGAUGUACAGAUAAAGAGGAUGCCGAUGUAGAAAUUUCAGUGACCUACACUGCUAAAAGGAAGUUAAGUCAGAUUCACUUAAAUAUAAUGUCAUACUGUUUCUGUACGAGGUGUUUCAAUAAAGUAGCUAAAAAAAGAAUUUUGAUGAAGUUGGCCUGUGCUAAGCAAACAAUUUUUCUGCACCAAAUACUGUUGUGAUAAAAUCAAAUUAUUUCUUCAGAAAAUAUAGAUUCUCUCAAGAUUUUCUACAA